GCUGUCCGGACAGAGCAAAAAAAACAAGGCAUCAGUAUUGUUGAGUAUUAGCUUGUACCUGGUUCGGAGGCUAACAGGUUUGCCGGAGAAGGCAGGGGUGAGCCACGGUGGCUGCCCGGCUGUGCACCGGCGCCGGAGUUUGGACCAAGACAAAGACAGGAGCUGUCCGCGGUGCUGAAUCGGCGGCGCCGUCGCCGGAGCAAGGGGGCUUCUGUAACCAGCCCUCUGCUCAUUUACUCCCCAUCCUUCUAGCUCCCCUUCGCUCUGUGACUCUUGCCUUCCCCUGAAUUUAUUUCCCUUUUGGGGGACUCACCUUAGAACCUGCGCCCUGUACACAGGUGUAUAUACAUAUAUCAAAGAACAAAACGAUUGAUUGAAAACGGUGUCUUCUCCUUUCUUCCCAAAUAAAUGAUGUUAGAAAGGUUUAUUUUAACUGUACCCUAAAACGGAGAGAAAUGGAUAUUUCUACUCCUAAAUAAAUGGAAAUUCAUGUUAAAAACAA
rnacentral:lncRNA from 1 species